UGAACGCUGGCGGCGUGCCUAAUACAUGCACGUCGAGCGAACAGACGAGGAGCUUGCUCCUCUGACGUUAGCGGCGGACGGGUGAGUAACACGUGGAUAACCUACCUAUAAGACUGGGAUAACUUCGGGAAACCGGAGCUAAUACCGGAUAAUAUAUUGAACCGCAUGGUUCAAUAGUGAAAGACGGUUUUGCUGUCACUUAUAGAUGGAUCCGCGCCGCAUUAGCUAGUUGGUAAGAUAACGGCUUACCAAGGCAACGAUGCGUAGCCGACCUGAGAGGGUGAUCGGCCACACUGGAACUGAGACACGGUCCAGACUCCUACGGGAGGCAGCAGUAGGGAAUCUUCCGCAAUGGGCGAAAGCUUGACGGAGCAACGCCGCGUGAGUGAUGAAGGUCUUCGGAUCGUAAAACUCUGUUAUUAGGGAAGAACAAAUGUGUAAGUAACUAUGCACGUCUUGACGGUACCUAAUCAGAAAGCCACGGCUAACUACGUG
rnacentral:rRNA from 1 species